rnacentral:rRNA from 1 species
UCAGGCCUAACACAUGCAAGUCGAGGGGUAGAAGGAGCUUGCUCCUUUGAGACCGGCGCACGGGUGCGUAACGCGUAUGCAACCUACCUUUAUCAGGGGGAUAGCCUCUCGAAAGAGAGAUUAAUACCGCAUGAUCUCGCAAGAGCAAAGAGGGGGACCGCAAGGCCUCUCGCUUUUGGAGGAACCUACGUCGGAUUAGCUAGUUGGUGAGGUAACGGCUCACCAAGGCGACGAUCCGUAACUGGUCUGAGAGGAUGAUCAGUCACACCGGAACUGAGACACGGUCCGGACUCCUACGGGAGGCAGCAGUGGGGAAUAUUGGACAAUGGGCGAAAGCCUGAUCCAGCAAUACCGCGUGUGUGAAGAAGGCCUUCGGGUUGUAAAGCACUGUAAGUGGGAAGAAAAAGCUUCACCUAAUAC